UACGUAGGUGGCAAGCGUUGUCCGGAUUUAUUGGGUUUAAAGGGUGCGUAGGCGGUGUCCUAAGUCAGUUGUGAAAUACGGCAGCUUAACUGUCGAGGUGCAAUUGAUACUGGGACACUUGAGUACUGAUGAGGUAUGCGGAAUGGACGGUGUAGCGGUGAAAUGCGCAGAUAUCAGGAGGAACACCGGUGGCGAAGGCGGUUCUCUGGGCAUUACCUGACGCUGAGGAGCGAAAGUGUGGGGAGCGAACAGG
rnacentral:rRNA from 1 species